GCCCGGGUAGCUCAGCCUGGAUAGAGCAUCACACUCCUAAUGUGAGGGUCGCAGGUUCAAAUCCUGUCUCGGGCG
rnacentral:tRNA from 1 species